UUAACACUUGAAAUAGUAGCUCUUUCAUACGUUAUUGUUUUCUAAAAGCUUUUGUUUCUUUACACUACUUAUCAGACUAACAAAGUGAAGUGUUUAAAACACAAUACGUACUUCUCAAUAAGAUUUUGAAGCACUUCCUUGGUACACAUGCCUUCGAGGUGUAAGUGGAAGCUUCCCUACUAGUAAUCGGAGGAUCCGCAGUUCGAAUUCCAGCGAGGGCAUUGCUGAUUCCUCACUUUUCCCAGCUCCGAAAGAAAUCCAAAUGGCUCUACAAGUAGAACCCGAUAUAAAAAUGGAGUAGAUGAUGAUCCAACCUGGAUUUUGUGGAUGGAUUCCCUAAUUUCUAAGCGUCAUUUAAAUGGAGGAGAUCGUAAAGAAUUUUCUUUUCCCUUACCGCAAGGCUUUGUGGUAAUUAGACGGUUAGCAAUUAUGAAUUCUGGAGUUCAAAUUCUGGAGGAGGCAUUGCUGAUUUUUCAUGUUUUCCGAACGCCAAAUAAACCUAAUGCACUCUACAGUGUUUCAGUCAAAGAGAAAUACUUUCCAAAGUAAUGUACCUUAUUCUCAUGAUUAUUGAAAUUAAAAUAUUCUAAAAAUUGUGGAAAA